UUUCUAAAGGUUUCCCAAAACUUUUUAAUUCCCCGCUUCAGCUCCUUCCCCUUCACUGGUUCGCUGCUCCUUCCCCUUCACUGGUUCGCUGCUUUGAUUUUGUUUUCAUUUUCCCACUUUUCCUCCUUCCUCUCUCUGGUUCUAUGCGCCUUCCCUUUCUUUGGAUUCUAACAAGGUUGUUGUUUCCCCACCGUCGUGGCGCCGUCGUUACUGCCUCCUCACGAACUGGUAAUCUCCUUAACUCACUUCAUUAAUUAGAUUGAAUAAAAUAAACAUCCCCAAUUGGGCAAACCCUAGCCAUUUCAAUUGAUUUUCUCCCUCCUUUUGUUGUUGUACGACGAGCACUCCACCGCCGACGUCGUUGUUGACAUGGUGGUCAUGUUCUUGUUGCUGGUGUUGGGUUGCCGGUCUCACUUUCUCCUCUCCUUGUCCUUAUUUCUUUGCUCCGCUGAGCCACUGCAACCCUGCCACCCUGUACUCGGCCACCGUUUUUUAUCUGCUCCUCUACCGCCGUUUCCGCUUAAAACUUUGCAGGCAAGGAGACUCUUCAGCUAGUGGUGUGAAAAAAUCUCCUGCUAGUAAGUGUUACAACAAGGCUUCUGGCUAGCAAAUAUGAAAAGGUCUCAGCUCCGGUUGUUGAAGAUCUAGUACUGAUAUAUAACAGGGAUUAGAGUAGGCAAGAAGUUCUUGACAUGGAGAGACUGAUGAUGGACUCCUUACAAUUCAAUUUGUCGGUUCCCACCCAUAUGUCUUCAUGAAACUAUACCUUAAAGCAGCUGAAGAAUAGACAAAGAAGUAAGUUUUAUUGACCCUUCGAACUCCUGUCAUUCUGAUUGAGCUUUGCCCGAUUGAGCAUGAAAUGCCGAGGUUCCCACCUUCUCUAUUAGCAGCAGCUGCAGUAUUCAGUGUUAUUUGCACUGUGAUUUGCACUGUGAGUGGGUCCAAGCAUUGGAGUAAGACCUGUGAGGGCACAUGAUGUAAGUAUUCUGUGGAACUCUAAUGAAAUCAAUCCAAAAGUACACAUUUUGCCUCUGUAACAAUUAAUGUUUGUGAUUUGGAGGUUCAUAAUUUCUCCUUCAAAUACGUACGAAUAUGGUUUUCCUUCUAACAAUGCUUCGUAAAUAAUAAAAAGUGAUCACAAGUAGUUAAAGUGCUAAA